rnacentral:lncRNA from 1 species
UUACUUGUCUAUCUAUCUAUCUUCUAUUCUAUUAUAUUAAAAUAAUUCCCCGACCGGUGAUUGGUCGGAAAAACUUUUAAAUCCCGCAGACGCUUUUUCCUUUCUCCGUCGACCGUUUCCCGUAGACUUUUGUCUCCUCUUUCCAUUUCGGCGGUCUGUUUGAUUUUCCGACCCACCGUUUUCCCGAUGCGACCGGAUGAAAAUCCAAGAUGUCCGACCAUUAAGCACCAGCCCAAUCGGAGCGUUCUGUACCUGUGCCCCUCGCGCCGCCGUGACGUUUCGCCCGCACGUGACGUCACCGAUCGGUCUUCCGUUUACCUUACGUCCCCGUCGAACGGUUUAAAUGCUCCAAUCUUUCUCAUGGUUCCCAACUCGAUAGGUAGGCAGGUCGUAGGCAUAGGUCCCCGUAGGUCCAGGUUCGAUUCCGAGCCAUAGCCGCCCGGCUUUGCACGAUUUUCCGCUGCCGCCGUCGAUUCGUACGGGCGUCGUUUCCGCUCCCGCGGAAUCUGUUUUCGGUUUCCGUCCGUCGCGUCCGAUUUUCGCCGCCGCCGUUUGUUAUCAACUACCGCCGCCGUGUCUUAUCGACGGGAGUGUGUUGAUCCCGCUCGCGGUGUUUCUUUUCUAUUCAUUUUCCGCCGUCCGUCAAGUCCGUUUUUUUCUUUUCGUUUCAAACUUUUUUUUGUGAAAUCGUUUUCAUCGCUUCAAUCGUAUUAUUUAAUACAUGUUAUUACAUAUUCGAUUUGUUUUACCGAAAAUUAUUUAUCCGUUUUUCUUUACUCAUGUUGAUUUGAUGUGUAACGUUAUUGUUGAACGCUUACACACGGCUGUGAAACGAAGAAAACAUAAUGCGUUUAAAAUAUAGUUUGUUUUUUUAUCAGCGUUAAGUACGUUCAAUACGAUUUGUUUUGCCAAACGAUAUAGGGAGAUAGCUGUUGUUUGAUUUAUUUAUACUUUUUUUGAACGGAAAGGAAUUGAAUUCAAAGGGUCUUCGGUGCUAACGAUACUGUUCAAAACGUUCACAGCUAUAAAACAACGAGUACUCGUUAUGAGUGUUACAACAUCAGUCGUUACACUUGGACGAAAGGAAAUUAAAACUUUUGCGAUGUAAUGUAAAUAAGAAAACCCGAUUGAUUUGAUGUGAAAUGCUGUAAUGAUAUUAUAAAAUGCACACGCAGCUAUAAAAUAAUGAAGUAAACAUGUAUUGGAGAACAAAAACGGCUACAACGUAUUCACCCUGGUACCAGUGCACCUCUGCCCACCGCGGGACCAACCACCUAAGUUGGGCAUUUUCAUUCGCAACACCUGUACGCGGUACAGGUGACCGAUCGUUGAAUAUCGUUAUUUAACGUUCGGGUACAUGGGCAGAUGACAACGGUGUACAAGUCAGAUUAGUGGCAAAGACCCGUCGUCGCGCUUCCGAAAUGGGUACCGGACUGUCAUUGGUUGUUUAAUUCUACAUUUUUCGUACAACGUUACGCAUUUUCUUCUCCGUUCGUCGUAUCGAAAUCGUAAUCACGAUCGAUACCGUUUUUCGCGACACGUGUUGUUGAUAUUUAAUGUUGGCCAUCAGCGUUGAUACGGAAUGUCUGUUUAUUCCGUUGCCAAUUGACGACGGCAACCCUAGUAUUUGGACAGGCAUUGAAAUCAGUUCACAACCGUUUCUGACACCGUCACGAACAUGUACUUUGUCAAUCAAAACGCAUUGGAAUUCGAGAUAACCGGAGAGAGGAGAGCUGUCGCGAUCAACGGACUUUCGCGUUCGUCAUCGCCACAGACACCGCGGCGUGAAGGGACCGUUGACAUGAGGUUCUAAUGUCGUCAAAUCAAUUUCAACUAACUAUAAAAUAAAACCUGGAUCAGGGGUUAAUAAUGUUUUGCCGUACUUAGCAGCUUCUUCAGCAAUAUCAGCACGUGAGAUAGCUUUCAAAUAAUCAGCCAUACGGUGAUUGGAUGGGAACAAUGAUGUUGCACCAAUUUCAGCUCCCAUAUUACAUAUGGUCCAUGAUACUCAAUAAUAGCACCUGUGCCACCAGAAACCGUUAAAAUAUCUGCAACUUUUAAAAUAACAUCUUUUGGUGUAGUCCAGCCCGUCAUUUUGCCAGACAAAUGAACACCAAUAACCUAAAUAAAUAUACGAUUAUAAAUAAAAAUGUUAUUAAUUUCAUCCUAUACAGUUAUCUGAAGAACCGCCAAUGGCAUUUUAAUUCCCAUGAUAUGUCGGCCAUGACGUCGACAGCAUCUGCGCCACCGACU